UGGCCUUUUCUCUCCGCCGCACUAGUUCUCCAGCGCGCCGCCCCUCACCGCCGGCUUCUGCCCCUCCUCCACCCCUGCCGCCGCCCCGCAGUUGGAGACGCUCGCCUCGCCGGAAAUCAUGUACCGCGCCGCGGGGAGCCACCUGCGCUCCCUGAAGCAUCUCGGUGCUACCAGGCUUGCUAGUACAAGUGUUGUGAAGCAGCCCCAAGGUGGUCUUUUCAGCUGGCUUCUUGGGGGAAAUUCAAGCCAACUUCCUCCCCUAGAUGUUCCGCUACCAGGCAUUACUAUUCCCCCACCUCUACCAGACUUUGUAGAACCAUCUAAGACAAAAAUCACUACUCUUCCAAAUGGCAUCAAGAUUGCCUCGGAAAUGUCACCGAGCCCAGCAGUCUCAGUGGGUCUGUAUAUUGACUGUGGUUCCAUUUAUGAAACACCCGUUUCAUCUGGAGUCUCCCAUCUAUUGGAGAGAAUGGCCUUCAAGAGCACAGUAAAUCGUAGUCACUUGCGGCUAGUUCGUGAGGUAGAAGCCAUUGGAGGAAAUGUCUCCGCAUCAGCUUCCCGUGAGCAAAUGAGCUAUACCUACGAUGCAUUAAAGAACUAUACACCAGAAAUGGUUGAAGUUCUCAUUGACAGUGUGAGGAAUCCAGCAUUUCUUGAAUGGGAGGUCAAGGAGCAGCUCCAGAAGAUCAAAUCUGAAAUAGCUGAAGUGUCUGUUAAUCCUCAAGGUCUACUUCUGGAGGCGCUUCAUUCAGCUGGAUAUUCUGGGGCACUUGCAAAACCUUUGAUGGCUUCAGAAUCUGCUGUAAACCGGUUGGAUGUUAGCAUCUUGGAGGAAUUUGUAGCUGAACACUAUACUGCUCCCAGGAUGGUUCUUGCAGCAUCAGGAGUUGAGCAUGAUACUUUGGUUUCAGUUGUAGAACCACUUCUAUCUGACCUUCCCAGUGUGAAACGUCCUGAAGAGCCAAAAUCGGUGUACGUUGGAGGCGACUAUCGUUGCCAAGCAGAUUCUCCAAGCACACAUAUUGCACUUGCUUUUGAGGUGCCUGGUGGCUGGAAUCAAGAGAAAACUGCAAUGGUUGUGACAGUGCUUCAGAUGCUCAUGGGAGGAGGAGGGUCCUUCUCUGCUGGUGGGCCUGGAAAGGGAAUGCAUUCUCGAUUAUAUCUCCGUGUCUUGAGCAAUUACCAGCAGAUCGAAUCAUUCUCUGCUUUCAACAGUGUCUAUAACAAUUCAGGUCUUUUUGGAAUUUAUGCAGUCACUAGCCCAGACUUCUCGUCAAAGGCUGUGGAUUUGGCAGCAGGUGAACUCCUUGAGAUUGCAACUCCUGGAAAAGUUUCACAAGAACAGCUUGAUCGUGCUAAAGAGGCAACCAAAUCCGCCAUUCUGAUGAACUUGGAAUCAAGGUCCAUAGCAUCUGAAGAUAUUGGAAGACAGGUUCUGACUUAUGGGGAAAGGAAACCCAUUGAAUAUUUCCUGAAAACAGUUGAGGAGAUCACCUUGAAUGACAUUUCGUCAACUGCAAAGAAGAUCAUGUCUUCACCGCUUACAAUGGCAUCAUGGGGCGAUGUUAUUCAUGUUCCUAGCUAUGAGUCUGUCAGCCGCAAGUUUCACUCAAAGUGAGAGCACUCAGCAUUGGGCUUGCGUGACCUGUUCCAACAAUUGAAGAUCAAUGGCUAGCUAGCAUGGGGUUUGAAUGAACCCAUUGGAGUGCAGGUUGAUUUCUUGUGGAAUCCAAGUUUGUACGGCUGCCCAUUCAAAACCAGGGAUGAUGGAGAGCAGGAGGAUCUUCGAACUCACGUAGAUGGACUGGGCGCCAGCAGGUGGCAGCAUUGUAACCCGAGCCCGAGCUGUGGAUGCCGGUAUAGAAGCUGGAGGCAUUCGUGCAGCCAUGGAGCUUGCAUCGGGCUGCUGUGGAUGUUUGCAAAUCCUGAUUUACGAGAUGUAACAUGCAGCAAGUGAGGCAGUGGGCCUGCGCCGAGCCUCCAGGCACGGGCUGUUAAGUUUUGUUUUCUGAGUUGCUGUUUGCUAGGGACCGCAACAAAGAAAAUUCUGACGAGGCCUAGUCGUAGACAGAUGGGCCGAGCUGAGAAGCCUGCAUCAUCGUUGUCAGGCCCACAACAAACAAGUCCCGCCAGCUUCCGGUACAAGGUUGCGGGCCCGCAAAAGCGUACCUUAUUGCUUAUAUCAAAAUAAUAACGAAAAAAUAAAGUGAUUUUUUAACUUA